AUCCGGCUGAUGAGUCCCAAAUACGACGAAACUCACGUCUUGGAU
rnacentral:hammerhead_ribozyme from 1 species